AUGACCGCUUAUAUGUCAAAAGAUUAACAGAAUUUAGAUUUCUCAGUUCAUGACCCCUUUAAAAUAUAACAUUUUAGUAAUGAGCUCCAGAAGCUUUCAGUACUGUAAAAGUGGAUUGUAUUAGUGUUGCUUUGGCUUAUUGUGUAACACUUUCUCAAGAUUUACGUUUGUGCUUAAUUUUCCAACAAACUAGUCUCCGGAUUUGUCAACCAGUCAACCAUUGUGACCCAUCCUAGUAACUAGCAUUAGAGCAUCACAAAAUAAUCCUCUACAUAAAUGUGAAUCCUCUCAGAGUUUGUGUCAUAGUAAUAAUCAGCUGACUAUGCAUUACGCCUUCGUUAGGGUACCAGACAUGGAAAGCUUUACCUUCAGUAAAAUGCUGACAGUAGAAACGUGUUUGCCCCAAAUGAAGUAUGCAAGCGGAGAAAAGAACAUGCAGCACCAUUUCACCAAGUGGAAGAGUGGAGAGGUCUUCAGGGAGGAUUUUAAGAGGAGAAAAGCGCUAAGUCGAGAAUGGGGUGAGCGUUGAGCAUUCUCGAAAGGGCAUAGCACUCUAUUUGCACACUCACAAUAUUAAUUGUCACUUCCAUUGGUUUUAAUUGCUGAGUUUUUCACCCUUGCGUGCCAUUCAACCCAGUGCACUGAUCCCUCCUUUAGAUACUUAUGGGUUGCUAAGACAACGAAGGAUCG
ensembl:lncRNA